rnacentral:rRNA from 1 species
UACGUAGGUGGCGAGCGUUGUCCGGAUUUACUGGGCGUAAAGCGCGCGCAGGCGGUUCGUUAAGUCCGGUGUGAAAGCUCCCGGCUCAACUGGGAGAGGUCAUUGGAUACUGGCGGACUUGAGGGAUGCAGAGGAAGGUGGAAUUCCCGGUGUAGUGGUGAAAUGCGUAGAGAUCGGGAGGAACACCAGUGGCGAAGGCGGCCUUCUGGGCAUUUCCUGACGCUGAGGCGCGAAAGCGUGGGGAGCGAACAGG